GCAAUCUACCUUUUACAGAGGGAUAGCCCAGAGAAAUUUGGAUUAAUACCUCAUAGUAUUACGAAAUGGCAUCAUUUUGUAAUUAAAGUCACAACGGUAAAAGAUGAGCAUGCGUCCCAUUAGCUAGUUGGUAAGGUAACGGCUUACCAAGGCUACGAUGGGUAGGGGUCCUGAGAGGGAGAUCCCCCACACUGGUACUGAGACACGGACCAGACUCCUACGGGAGGCAGCAGUGAGGAAUAUUGGACAAUGGGCGCAAGCCUGAUCCAGCCAUGCCGCGUGCAGGAUGACGGUCCUAUGGAUUGUAAACUGCUUUUAUACGAGAAGAAACACUCCUACGUGUAGGAGCUUGACGGUAUCGUAGGAAUAAGGAUCGGCUAACUCCGUGCCAGCAGCCGCGGUAAUACGGAGGAUCCAAGCGUUAUCCGGAAUCAUUGGGUUUAAAGGGUCCGUAGGCGGUUUAGUAAGUCAGUGGUGAAAGCCCAUCGCUCAACGGUGGAACGGCCAUUGAUACUGCUAGACUUGAAUUAUUAGGAAGUAACUAGAAUAUGUAGUGUAGCGGUGAAAUGCUUAGAGAUUACAUGGAAUACCAAUUGCGAAGGCAGGUUACUACUAAUGGAUUGACGCUGAUGGACGAAAGCGUGGGUAGCGAACAGGAUUAGAUACCCUGGUAGUCCACGCCGUAAACGAUGGAUACUAGCUGUUGGGAGCGAUCUCAGUGGCUAAGCGAAAGUGAUAAGUAUCCCACCUGGGGAGUACGUUCGCAAGAAUGAAACUCAAAGGAAUUGACGGGGGCCCGCACAAGCGGUGGAGCAUGUGGUUUAAUUCGAUGAUAC
rnacentral:rRNA from 1 species